GACGAACGCUGGCGGCGCGCUUAACACAUGCAAGUCGAGCGAAGCGGCGGACGGGUGAGUAACACGUGAGUAACCUACCUUAGACAUUGGGAUAGCCUCGGGAAACCGGGAUUAAUACCCAAUGGUCUAAGAUGGACUCGCGUCCCAUUAGCUAGUUGGUGGGGUAACGGCCCACCAAGGCGACGAUGGGUAGCCGGCCUGAGAGGGUUAACGGCCACAUUGUAACUGAGACACGGUCCAACCUCUACGGGAGGCAGCAGUGGGGAAUAUUGCACAAUGGGGUAAACCCUGAUGCAGCGACGCCGCGUGAACGAAGAAGGUAUUCGUAUCGUAAAGUUCUGUCCUAUGGGAAGCAGUACCAUAGAAGAAAGCUCCGGCUAAAUACGUGCCAGCAGCCGCGGUAAUAC
rnacentral:rRNA from 1 species